rnacentral:rRNA from 1 species
GUAGGGAAUCUUCCACAAUGGACGAAAGUCUGAUGGAGCAACGCCGCGUGAGUGAAGAAGGUCUUCGGAUCGUAAAACUCUGUUGUUAGAGAAGAACGUGCAUGAUAGUAACUGAUCAUGUAAUGACGGUAUCUAACCAGAAAGCCACGGCUAACUACGUGCCAGCAGCCGCGGUAAUACGUAGGUGGCAAGCGUUGUCCGGAUUUAUUGGGCGUAAAGGGAACGCAGGCGGUUUUUUAAGUCUGAUGUGAAAGCCUUCGGCUUAACCGAAGAAUAGCAUUGGAAACUGGAAGACUUGAGUGCAGAAGAGGAGAGUGGAAUUCCAUGUGUAGCGGUGAAAUGCGUAGAUAUAUGGAGGAACACCAGUGGCGAAAGCGGCUCUCUGGUCUGUAACUGACGCUGAGGUGCGAAAGCGUGGGUAGCAAACAGGAUUAGAAACCCUUGUAGUCC